rnacentral:rRNA from 1 species
AUUGAACGCUGGCGGCAGGCCUAACACAUGCAAGUCGAGCGGAGCGGCGGACGGGUGAGUAAUGCCUGGGAAUCUGCCUGGUAGUGGGGGAUAACGUCCGGAAACGGGAGCUAAUGCCGCAUACUAUCAGAUGAGCCUAGGUCGGAUUUGCUAGUUGGUGUGGUAAAGGCCUACAAAGGCGACGAUCCCUAGCUGGUCUGAGAGGAUGACCAGCCACACGGGAACGGUGACCCGGUCCAGACUCCUACGGGAGGCAGCAGUGGGGAAUAGUGCACAAUGGGCGCAAGCCUGAUGCAGCCAUGCCGCGUGUAUGAAGAAGGCCUUCGGGUUGUAAAGUACUUUCAGCGAGGAGGCGUUACUCGCAGAAGAAGCACCGGCUAACUCCGUGCCAGCAGCCGCGGUAAUUC